ACUUAGUCUUUUUACGAUCUCAGUAUAUUAUCUUAGAAUAUUUGGUGAGUUUCAGUUUGCUAAGACAAUUUAAAAAUAAUAAUAAUGGAUAAACAACGUUCAUAACGUUUAUGCACUUAGUUCUCUGAUUAGUCUGUUCUAAAGCCGUACUGUACUCAUGACCAGCAAGAAAUAGCCGUUCUGCCUCUUAUACUUAUAUAUCCCACAGAUCAGUCAGGGCUUGGCUGGAUGAUGGACUAAACAGAACAGAAAAAUUACAAUUCCCAAAUUAUGCAUUUAAUUGAUGUCAUAAAAACUUCUAAAUACAGUAUUGUGCAAAAGGCUUAGACAGUCAUAGAAAAUGAUGUUUAAAUGAUCUUCAUGUUGGUGAAAAACUUUACUAUUAUGGCCAUCAAAAUAUGUUAGCGUAGUCGUUUCAAAAUCUCUGCUAAUGUCACCCAAGUAUUUAAAGCAACCGUCCAAUACACCCGUGUAUUUUUUUCACUUCACCACUAGCGCACCUUGUAUUCUUACCCAAUAUCUCAUUGAUUUCUCAAACCACUAAUUAAUUAAAUAAGUGAGCGUGUGAUGAAAUCUGAGAAAUACAGCGGUGUGUAUUUGAGAACUGGACCGGUGUUCAUCUAACUAGAUCUCGGAAUCUUUUCUGGCACUCAGCGAAAGCGUUGUCUCUCAUGUAAGAAGGCCUCGUCUCCUGGGACAAAACUAAGUCCGUCAAGAUUCUCAGUCGACUUGACACCCUGCUCCAGUAAGGGACACUGAGGUCUCUCUACACUGCUUCAGGAUGGUGUGUGAGCUUUUCCUGCUCUCUUCUGUUUGGUUCCUCUUUGUCAUCUUUUGGAUGGAGACCAUAAGCGUCUGGCUUUUCCUCUGCAACUUUUACCAGGACCGGGUCUUCUAUCCUUGGGGAGAUGGAAUAUUUGCUGAUGACCCCAGUCAUAUGCUCUACAUGCUAGGGAGAGUAGAAGGUCCCAGACAAAUGGAGACCUGAUAAAAGAUGGGAGAACCCGAAGUGAGAGGAUAAGCUUCAGGAGGGACGCCCGUCCAUAUUGGAGACCUUUUCCGGGGCCCUUGGUGAUUCACCUCUCCCAGCAAGCUUGUCACUUUAACAGAAGGCUGAGUGAGAUACAUGUAAUAAAUAAUAUCGCAAACACGGAAAAUGCGCAAGCCUGUGUCCCUCUAGAACCAUCGCUUUGAACGCUCUUCACAAAGUGUGCUUGAGGUUUUCUGCAUCUGACCCUAAGACUAACACACCUAAGGGUUCGUAUGUCACAAUGAGGAACUGCAGCCCGCAGUCACAGAAGAUUCUCCCGAACUGUAAUCCACAGUUUCCGCUGUAUUCAUCUUUUCAGUGACCCGGUGUGUCUGGGAUAAUUCCGUAAAUUAAGCAAGCUUCUGGCUUCAUACGAUGCAGAAAUGGUUUCUUUACGUUUAGGUUUACAGAUCAUGCAAGCAAAUAUUGAUAUUUUGACCUAAGCAUGUCUAAGUAUAUAAGAUAACUUCUGUUUAGUUGAAACUGUUGUUUAAAGUAGCGGUUACUUUUGUAACAAAUAGCAGUUCAUUCGUAUGUAAACAAACAGUUGGUUGGUUGUUUCCCUUUAGGAACCAGGCCAGUUAGUUUGUAGUAAUGUUCUGUGGGCUCGAAUCAUGCAGGAAAUUUUGUUGUUUGUGUAAAUCUCUCCUGCCGCUUUGCUUGCACACUUAUUCCGAGCGCCAAUCUUCUGCUCUCAUGCCAAGCCAGUAGUAUAUUCCAGCUCAAAAUUUUCUUUGAAGAAUGGAUAAAAUUUGCUGGAUGUGGAUGGAGAUUAUAUUAUCAUGUCUAAAUUUGCUGUUCCUGUGUGUCCCCCACUUUUGAAAUGGAUUUUCGUCAAAUGGUGGUAAUACAGUCAUACAACCAAAA